rnacentral:misc_RNA from 1 species
UGCAUAACCAAGUAUGGCGGUAGUUUACUUAGCGACAGCAGCAACUUUUUAUCGAACUUUUGACGGUUUAUUAUUUUGCAGUUUUUGUUGCUUGUGUGGGAUUUACCCAGAAGUAAUUUUACUUUCAGUGACUGAUUGGCAGCAAACACCGGACAUCGAUCAAAAGAAGGAAAUUCGUUCUCACUUAUAUAAAUUGCGUGAAUCGCGUUUACGUGACUUAUAUCAAGGCGAAAUCAUGGCUGGCAACUACGCUAAAGAUCCGUUGAACUCGUCGCACGGCGAUUCUUUGGUGGGUCAAAAUUUUCAAAGCUUGAAAUCAAAAGAAGUUCGAGAUUCAGUGAGUCCCAUAAAUGAUUUGAAGUUCCACUCCAUGACCCUGAAUCAUCCCAAUACAACUGGUUGGGACGUGCAAACUUCGUCCGAGGUGAGUCCAGAUGGACGCGCAUAUCGUACCGAAACCUUGGCUACUACAGAUGGCGUUGAAAAGAUUAAUGGAGGCACCGCUGAAUUCCGCGGCCGAAACGAGCAACGCGCAAGUGCUUCCCAUCAAGGGGACGAUAAGAACUUCGUUAAGAAGGCAUCGGAAAGCUCUAAUACUCACUUGCAAGAGCGUGUAGUGGUUGGCGAUGAGAAUUCCGGUCGCACUGAAAUGAAAACUAGCUCGACUACAACAUCAUCCUCAUCCCAGGUGACAUCCUCGUCAUCCACUAUCGAAUAUGGUGGUGCCGAUCCAAAUGAUGGUCGAUAUCUUAUGGAUAAUACUCAGCGACAACAUCAAGAUCAUCAACGACUCACCCAAGAUCAAUAUAAUCAGCAGAUUCGGCGACAACAACAAUUACAGCAGCAAGAAUAUGAACAAAACAUACAACACCAACACCAACAACAACAACAACAGCAUCAGCAACGUGUCCAGCAGCAACAUCAGGAAUUCAAUAGUAAUCGUCAAGAAUCGUCUACAAGCCGUAACGUUGAGACUCAACAGACGAAGGAGCAGAAUAGACGUGUUGUAGAUAUGGAUAAGGCUUCGCCUGAAUAUCAGCAACAUGUCCAGUAUCUUAUGGCACAACCUGGUGAGAUUAUCUCGAACACGGUUGAGUAUCCGAAGCCGAAUGUUAAGAUGAUCACUACCGUUAAACGAUUGCCUGAUGGUACUAUCGUCAAGAAUAAACGUUACGAAACGGAAGAGUUACGUCCUACAGCGGAUACCCAACGUCAACGUACGACUUCUACUACGAGCCAGAGCAGCACUCAACAUAGAAACGAACAACAAAGACGUGAGCAGACAGAAGACAAUGUAUACAAUCGUCAACAAAACGUGCGCAAUAAUGUAUAUUCGAAUAAUACUCCAAGACGACCUGAACAUGAUGUCGUCGAUAACGCCGAACCCUUCUUGCGCAAACCCAAUCCACAAGAGUUAGCAGUUUCACAUCCGGCCGACCGUUUUGUGGAUGAAACCACCAACGUUGAAACUAAAUUUUCAUCGGUGAAGAAAUCAAGCCGUAAAUUCUCCACUGAAACGACAUCAGAAACUAUUGAGGAGUUUUCGGAUCAGCCACCCUCUUCACAAGCUCCUGGUAUCAGAGGUAAACCGCCGAGUGGUCAUUCACCUAACAAGGAUUUUUCUACCCAUGGAUUUCCUUCAGUGAAGCCGAAUAAGCCCACUCAAGAAUAUCCUUCUGAACGUCCACAUACCGGCUCACAACCUGAUUUUAGUACUCAUGGGUUUCCUUCGGUGAAAUCAAAUAAACCAACACAAGAAUACCCAAGCGACCGUCCACGUCCUUCUGAGGUGGAGCGUAUAACACAACGAACUGUGAUCCCUACAAACAAACCUAACACAGACGCACCACAUGGGUUUCCCGCAGUAAGACCAAACACAAAUAUUACUACAACCAAAGAUGGUGAUGUGAUAAUUGUAAGUUCUGAAUCUACGCGUAGUUCAAAAUAUAAGACCAAUGCAGAGCGUAUUAUCGAAACUGAAGUAGUAGUUGAUGGAGAUUCUAAUGUUCGUCCUGAAAGUUAUCCUAACCGUGGGUUUCCCGCAGUAAAUGAACCAUCAACGGGAGGUAGGGAUUCGCCAAGAUAUGGUGCUCCUAUUAAGGAUCCGAUAAAACAAUCGGCGGAUUACUCCACAAGCGGAUUUCCAUCUACCAGAGAUGUGGCUAGACCGCAUUCAGGACAGCCUGUACCUUCAAGAAUCAUUGACCAAGAUGGAAAUGUAACAGUAGUAAGCUCGGAAUCAAAAAAAGUGAUUAAACAUAAUACAAACAGGGAGCAUAUUAUUGAAACAGAAAUUGCUGGCGAUUAUGACCAUCAUACACCGUCAGGCUUACGUCAACCCGACAAAAUUACAUUUCCACCUACCCCUCAACCAGGGGAUUUUAGCACACAUGGAUUCCCAUCGGUAAGAGACUCUGCCCCCACCAAUGAUGCAUAUCGUCCACAAGGUACACCUACACGUGAUUAUCCAAGUAGCCCUCGAAAGGCACAACCAUCCGAAGAUUUUUCGACACACGGUUUUCCCUCUGUUAGGGAGUCGGCACCUGUUAGAGGAAGUACACCAUCUCGAGACUACCCGAGCAGCCCAGGUCAACAUCAACCAAAAGAAGAUUUUUCUACACAUGGUUUCCCAUCUGUAAGAAGUCCCAACAAAUCUGCACCGGAUUUCUCAACACCGUCAGGUGGCUUCCCAUCAACUAGGGAUACUAACGCUCCCAAGCUUACGCCAACUCAACCACAAAGAAUACAACCGAAUUCAACACCCACAAGAAAACCCACGAGUACGACAGACUCUUCUCAACGUCUGAUUUCGAAGGAGAGGGAUGUCGACGCCACCCAUCGUGCCUUUGCCGCUUCCCUUCGAUGCUCAUCACCAGUGGAUAGUCCAGACCAUCAUCGGACCACACCGCGUUCCAGCGUUUCAUCGACUAGGACAUUCCGACGAGAUGGCCGAGAAGGUUCCCAUGACAGCGAAACAAGUCGCAUCAGUUCGGGCACAGUUACGCGUUCUUCGCCAAGUAAGAGUGUUGGUAAAACUGUCGUUACAAAGCAAACUGUUGUUAAAACUCGUAACGUGAAUGGUUCUAACGAAACAAUUGAUUUAACACCCCAGCAGCGCCCCACAAAGUCGCCGUCUCCCACAAAGACCAUCACAACGACCACCACACGCACCACAACAACUAGAAAGAGUCCAGGAGAAGUGCCAAAACCAGAUAAUCAAAAAUCUAAGCCAGCCGAAAACACAUUUCCUAUUAUUAACGAACCACUAACCAUCACAAAAACCCACUUUACCGCAAAUGACGCCAGCUUCCUCGGCAACGAGGUGGUCGAGGAGCCAUGCUUAAAAAAACACUUUUACAAACUCGGUCCGUCCGACAAAGCAACAACAAACAAUGUUGACGAGAAGUCACCAUAUUCACCAGCACCAAGUAAUAACAUACAUCGCACUCAUCCCAAACCAAAAUCCCAAGUUCGGGAUGAUUUCGAAGAUGUUAACCACGAAGAGCCCAUCCAUAAACAACCACUAAGUUCAUCCGUAAUCGAACCUAAACAACGUAAUCGUUCACCAUCAGGACCACUUCCAAGUAGUAGUCCGCAAACCAUUUGUCAACCAAACAGAAAAGAACCUAGUGUUGAGCGUAGGACUGUUGUGAGAGAAAGUGAAUUUGAAAACACAGAUUGGCAAAAUACAAUUCUAGAUUCGAACGAACGACCCUAUCCUGUAAAGGAUGGAUCUUCAAAAUCGCGAGAAAACCGUCCUACAGAUGAUUAUAUAAAAGAAACACCAGUUGAUACGUCUGAUUUUCCGGUCAUUAGAGAAGAAACUAUUAAACGACCAGAUCAAAAUAGACAGAAGGAGAUUUUGACUAUUAAAGGUACGAGAAAUGAAAAACUGCGAUCUAAUGAAGACAAAUUUGUAACAAUUGAGUAUGAUGUAAGAAAGCCGAAUGGUAAAGAGCCUUCUGGACCGGUCGGCAAAAAAUCUACUUCGGGGAAACCAUUAGAUUCAACAGACAGGGGACCUAACGAAAGCAAACCACUUGAACCUUCAAAACGAAGACCAUCUGAUAAACAUCCCACUGAAUAUACGGAUAAACCUAAAAGUCCAAUUCGAAAAACUUCCGAUAUUACCUCUUCAAAUAAAUUCGAAACCUCCGUAAUAACAAAAACUACACGGAAGGAAAAUUCAUAUGUUAUUGACGAUGAUAUCGAACCACAUCAAAGUAUUCCAAAACAGCCAACUGAGAAGAAACCUAGUGAUACAGGAAAACUAAAACCGAACGGCGUUGAUCGCAGUCCGACUAGAAAACCAACGAACUCAAAAACUCUCUCAAAUAUAACUUUGAAAUCGGUCUGUAAAGAAAACGAUGAACCUGUGGAUAAAAGACCAACGGGUGAAUCCCCAAAAGAACCUGCUUUUAAGAGACCAACGGGCAAGAAACCUGAACCUAGUCCCACACGAAAACCGGAGAAAGAUACUCCAAUUACUUCCGAAGACAAUGUAUUCAAAACCAGUACUAUUACUACUACGGUCACGAAAACUCGCAAAGACAACAUUUCUCCUACCAGAACCAACAAACCCAAGGAUAAAAUUCCUGAGGAAGAUAGACCAACAAAAUUGUCGCAACCAAAGCCGACAUAUACUAACACUAUAAAGCACGAACCUCGCGAUGAGUACCCCGCACCUAUUGAGAACAGACCAACAAAGAAAAUACCAACUAAGGAAAAUCUUAAAUCAACAGAAAUUAGAGUUACUAAAACGCAAGUGGUAGCAUCUACCGAUAAAUAUCAGCCUGGUCCAAAAGUAACAAAACCACUUACUAGAGAACCUUCCAAUCCAGAAUAUGAUGAUGACGUAAGCGAGAGUGAACGUGAACCAAGUAAUCCCAUCAGGACGGCACCAUCUGAGCCUGAAAAAGUCACACAGUCAAAUAAACCGCAUAAUACUCAAGAAGGAGAAGACUUCUCGGACACUGAGAGCACAAGCUCUUCAUUUAUAACGACAAUAAUUAAAAAGGUACGCACAGAUGAACCAAAAACAACUCAACAAACGAUUACCGAUGAGACGACAAAAGUUCAAGAGCUUUUCAAUAAAACCGACAAGACGAAACUAACUAAAAAUGUAAAUGAAGAAUUCAUAACUUUCGAACAACAGAUGCGGGAAAGAAUUCCAGUUGAUGAUACUCCUACAACUAAAACAGAAUUACGAAAUAAGGAAGCGAAGAAACUAAUUUCUGAACCAAUAGAUAAGUAUUCGAAACCCAAUGAUACAGACAAUGAUGAGCAAUCCUUUACUGAUGCAAAUACUUUGAAAAUAAGUUCAGUUACAACAACUUUAAGAACCGUUGCUCAAGACAAGUCGCAUUCCCCCGAAUACCAACACAGUGAUAGGGAACCCAAACUUGUGCAGCCAUCUGUUGUGGGCUUGAGUGACGACGAUGAGGUCCCACAGCAAACAAUUGAAUCGACUACAAUUAUUAGUACAAACAAGAAUACACGCAAAGAUAAUUCACCGAAUUUCACAGAUGGUGGAAAACCCAAAUCUGAUGCUCCUUGUGCCAAGAAGCCUACUGAGGGGAAAAAUAAGCCAAUUUUGCCGGAUCAUAGCACUAAGGAUCACAUUCCGUCACCAACACCAACUGAUCAAACUUUUGACACUAUUAUUUCGACUACCACUACUAAAAUUUCCAAAAACUUACCUGGCGAAAAAACAACAGCAAAGCCUCGAGAGCCUUUCGAUAAACUUGAGCAAACCACUUUCGAUGAAACUAAAAAAGUUGAGGAACUCUUUAAUACUAAUAAAUUGGCUCAUACAAAAAAUACUAUUGAAGAAUUUAUUACUAUGGAAAGGCAAAACAAAGAAACCCCAGAUGGAGCUUUUAUAUCGAAAGCACCUGAGCCUGAACCAAGUUCCCCAAGUUUUAAGAAAAAAGGUGUUAACCCAAGAGAAACCUUUGAAGAUCGUUGCCGUCAAAUCUUAGGCAUGGAAAACUAUGGAGACACUCCUGGUGUUUAUAAAAGGAAACCUGAAGAUGUAUCUGAUCAAACUGAGUCAGUUACCGUUAAUGUCACAGAAUUGGAUGUUCAAAUAGAGGACUGUGAAGAUGACGAACCCACUUAUCUAAAUAAUACUAAAGAUUCUGUUAAGCCUCAGAAACAUGAUUUCCCCACUACAUUUGAUAAAUCACAAAAACCAAAAACCCGCAAUACUCUUGAUGAUGAAAUAGUAGAAGAAGUGGAAUGUGUUCGUAAAGAAACCGUUGUACCAUUUAAAAGAAGUUCUCCAGAUACGGAGCCCUUGACUGAAAUUUGUCGUAAAACAACUUUGAUUUCUGAAACCGAUUUAAAUGAAGAAGAAGAUGAACAAACGGUCUCCAAAAAGUCUUCUAAAAUAGUUACUAAAACUUCCAGUCCAUCACCGAAGAAGGUGAAAUCCCAAAAUGAGGAGCCAGAAGAUUCAUCAACCACCGAUUCAGAGUUUCCGGAAAAAGAAACGGACGAAGAGUCUCAACCGGAUACUAUAGUAUCUAAAAGAGAUAUGCAAUAUACAGAAGAAGUAGAAAAUGUCUCGAAUGUGGUUGAGGUUACCAAAAAACGAGUAACGAAAGAAAAACGUUGUAGUCCUAAUAAAAGUCCGACCAGAAAGCCAUCAGAGCCUCAAGUUACUCGUAAAACAUCUCCCGUCAGGCAACAUCCUUCUGGCUCUUCCACGAUUACAGAAUUGAAAACAAUCGAAACAAAGACUAAGUCGCUUGAACCGAAUAACCCUUCAAAAAUCAGAAGUGAAACUAAGCCUGUUGACAAGUUAGCGGAGAAACCGGAUAAUCAAAGUAUUGUUGGAAGAGAUAAACCAACAUCUCCAGCGAAGUUGCGGUCAGAACGUAUUCAUAAAGUUGAUACGACUUCCGACAAAGGUCAUCAAAAGCCUACAAAAGAGUCUCCAACUCACACAAUCAAAGACCGCUUACGUUCUGCCACCCGAAAUAGGAAGCCUUCCGAAUCGCAGUCUGAUUCUUCGCCUGAUGUUAGUCCUUCACGGUUUACAGAGCGUAGACGUUCAAGUAAUAUUUCGGUACAUACUGAAAUCAUAAUUGAUCAUUCAGGACCAAAAUCUCCUAAACCUAUUGAAAAGAGCCCUGAGAAACAUACACCACAGACAAAGAAAACCAGUCCGACAGAUAAAACUUCACCAAACGCAAGACCGGUUCGAAGACUUCCUGUAACCGAACGAAAAGAAUCUGCGCCGGUUCCGAGUGUUACUCGUAAAGAAAAGGAUGCAAAAAUGACUAGAUCAACAAGUGAGAAAGUUAUGAAAGUUACUGAUAAACCGGUAAAAGAAACUGUUGUGAAUACAUUGGCACCAAGCCCCACACCGAAAGGCGAUCGUCGUCCUAAUAAGUGCUUCACCACCAAGACCAUAAAUCUCACUACUACAGAUAAACUAAUAAAUAGCGAUGAAAUGGAGAAUGUUAUAAUAGAUAUUCAACAUGCGAAGAGUUCUCGUGAGCCAUCACCAGAUAAAAUUGUCCCUACGCCAGUACCGGUGCAUUUAGAUACGGGUAAGCCUCGUUAUCCCGAUGUUGUACAAGAACCUGAAGAUGAACCACGCAAAAAACCGGUAAUCACAAAUAUACCUAUUUUCGAAGAAGAAUCAAACGAAUAUAUCAAAUGCCAUAUAUCAGAGGUGAAGACAGAUAAGAUUUCGAAAUUGGUGGACUUAGAUGAGAAUGAUAUUCUGGAUAACCCUAUGAUUGAAGCUCCAAAAAGUCUUGACUAUCCGUCUAUCGAUAGACCUGACGAUGACUGCCUUUUGAGCGUUCAUGAGAAGGUUUCCAAGUUCACACAUACAGCUGAAGAGAUUAAGAAACCCAAAGCAUCUAGCCCAUUCAAUAGAGAGUUCGACAAAACACCCAAAGUACCAGAAAACGAUGAAUGCUUAUUGACAGUUGAUGAAAAAGUUAACAAGUUCAUUAAGACAGCAGAAGAGGUAGCGAAACCCAUCACACCUAUACGGGAGGUUGAACGUCCCAGCUACACUGAUUUGGACGAAGAGUUACGAACAGAUGAUUGCACUUUGUCUGUGUCUCAAAAGGUGAAUAAAUUCUUGAGUACUGCAGAAAAAUUGGCUCCAACUGCACCGCAAAGGUCCCCUGAAUUGGUGGCUAAGAUCGAACGGACUAUUUCCAAGCAGAGUGAGCCAGAGUAUCCCGAAGAUCUUAGUGAUGAUGAACUAACGCCUUUUUCGCAUAAUCAUACUCUCGAGAUAGAGAAAAGACGUCAAAAAGACAUACUCUCUCGACCAACUGUAUUUGAAAAUACAACAAAAACUGAUCAGUAUAAUGAUUACUCAGAAGUAAAACUUACUACAACAGAAAAUAAUACCACACUAGAAGAACACGAGGAAGUAAUUCCUCACACAAGAGAUCAUACAACAAAAAUUGAGUUAAAGCGACAAAAAGACAUUUUGUCCAGACCUUCAAUCUAUAAUCAGAAUGUGAAAGGAAGACCACAAUCGCCCAAUAAAAAAGAACCCACUGGUCCAAGCAAGCAUCCAAUAACGAAUCUUAAAACAAAACAGAUGGAAUAUACAACACGGAAAAUAAACAGAGAGGAUAGUGAUAAAAUUGAAAUUAAAAGUGAGCGCAAACCAUCUACUCCACUCUCCAAGCCUGAUAGCCGUAGAACAACAAAACCACAAGCUUCGUCUGUCGCUGUAACCAGAUCUCGUUUUGAGACACCUGAUAUUAAAAGGAAUACACCAAAAUCGCCUGUUGAACCAAAAACCAAUCGAGUCCAUUCACAAAUUAUUACUGGUCGUAAACCAACGAGUGAACCCAAGACGUCUGGUAGAAAACCAUCAUCGGAAUCGAUCACUAACGCUUCUUAUCCAAGCAGAGGUAAACCAACAACUGAGCCUGAUAGUCAUUUUGAUGGCAAGCAACCAUCUACUGAAUUCGAAAUCAACGUCCAUGAUUACGAAACCGUCGAAUCUGAAACAGAGUUCACAUCAACAUCACGCCGCAGAAGUUCAUCCAAAACAAAAGAUUACUUAGAGACGGUACAGACAGAAAUUGAACGGUUUUCUCCUACCCAAAAAGAAUCUCCAACUCGAAAAACUUUCCCGCAGGAAAAGAAAACACCCCAAACUUUCUCACACAGUCCUAUUCAAAAAGAUACAACUAGCACUACCAAUGCUACUCACGUAACCGAGCGCACAAAUAAGCACAAUUCAGAUUGUUCCGAUAUUGAAAUCGUUGAAACUGUUAUAGAGCGCCCCGCACACGUAAAGACACCAACACCUACACCAACAUCCGUUGGUCGUACUCGCAUAACACCAGAUACUGUAGCCGCUCGCCGCAACAUUUUCGAAACCAAUGCCACGCCGAAGGGUCACAGUCCAGGAGAAAGCAACUCGCCCUCACCUGUUGGAAGACGUCCAUCAUAUAUGGAUCACACAGUUAGCUCUUUAGAGCACAUUCGUCGUGAUUCAUUAGAAGUGAAUAAGCAUAACUAUUCACGCAAGUCAUCGGUGGAUUCGGAAAUCAAUUAUGAGCGUCGACCAAAUGCUGCAGUGAAGUUUGAUGUGCCACAUAAACCGCAGCGUACUGCUAGUAUUCCCGAAGAUAUUGAUGUUGAGAAUAUUUUCGAAUUAGAAGUAUUGGAGCGUCUUUUGGAAACUGUAACCUCAUAUGAGCUGAGACGCAGGAUUCGCGCUCAAAUACGUUUGGUUAAGAAAAAUACACUCAACACUAAUGUGGUUGACAAAAGGAAAACCGAAACUAAAGCAUCUAAUUCCAUAAGAUCAACUCACAAAACAUCUACUUACAAAUCAAAUGUGCAUCAUGAAGAAACUGACACCAUUAAUGAAGGCGUAACAACGAAAGUACCAUAUGACAAUAAAGGUAGUCCAAAACGUCCGGUUCAAACAUCAAAGGUGGGUAGGACAACUCAAAAUGUACCGCAAAGAUCCCCAUAUGGUACUGAGGAAAGUCCAAGGUCGUACAAUAAACUGCACCGCGAACAGAACGUUACUACAAAAAGAACAUAUGCUACUAAAACUCCAAAUGGUGGCACUGAAAGCCCUGAACGUCCCAGAAAAUUACCCUUUGAACGCGAUCACAGUCCCGAAACAAAAACUUCGCACGAACAAGUAAAAGAAAUACGUCGUAUAUCUGGUUCUUCGAAGUCCUCACAUAAGGAAUAUGUACAUAGCGAGCAGACGGACUACUCGGAAGAGAAUAUCAAGAGCUCCCGCCGCCACGUUGAGCAGAGUUCUGAACGCUUUGAAAAAGAUCAUAAUCGUGAACGCAAUUCUAGUCCGGAAUCUAAGAGUCCCGUUAGGGACGGCAGACAUAGUCAAGAUAUAAAAAUAAAAACUUUGUCUAGCACACGCACCAGAAGUCCUGAUGACAGAAAGCCAUCAUCGCAACGCACAACCAGUCCGAAAGGAAGAACGCCGAAACAACGUGAUGAAUUAUACAACAUUUCCAAGGUAACGACAGUUAAAACCACACGCUCACCCGAACGUAAAUCUAGUAAGCCGAACGCUGAUGAAAACGCACCCAUUUGGGCGGAUCGUAAAAAUCUGCUCAAGAGUCCAAGUAACGCACCACGUAAAGUGACAACUACGCCGUCAACACGAAACACGGCAACGAAGGUCACAACAUCGAAGACAAUCAGUCAACGCCAAACUCAGAAUAGAAACUUUGAAGAAGAUUCAAUCACCUCGAGUUAUGGCAUUGGACCGACAGACGAAAAUGGUUUGCCUUUAUUCGGCAUUAAGGCGUUGAAAAAGAAGAAGCCCAGCCAGCCCUGUGAAGCAACUGAAGAAGUCACAGGCUAUGUGAUCGAGGAGAAGUAUUAUUCAGAUAGUAAAACGAAGCCGAAAGUUGAGCGUAAGGAGUACAUUUAUUCAACAAAUGCCGAUGAACUCGAAGAAAUUACGAAAACUCUUGAGCAAAGCCGUAAAUCUUCAGAGGAUAAUGUGGAUGUCAUCAGAAAAGUUGAGAAACUCGAUAAGGAUUACGUUUUUGACAAACCGGAAGCUAUAAUGCCAGACACAGAGGACUUUGCUACAACGUCCAGCAAAUAUGUUCGCCGUGGAUCAGUGAAGGAGCUGAGUGAGAAAUUCAUACGAAAAGAGUCUUCACAAUCAGUAACGGAAAAAUCCGGUGGCUACCCGAAGGCCGGUUUGAUUUUACGUACCAGCCGUGGAUCAUCAUCAGAACCAAGUGGAGAUGGUUACGAAAUAACUACUGAAAAAUAUACAACAACAUCGAGCAGUCAUGGUUACCGCGGCGAUUCCGACGAUGAACAAAACGUGCAGCUGCGUCAGAAACAAACACGGCGUAUUCUCACUGACUACGACGAUAACGAAGCCGACCAAUGUCACUUGAGUACUCGUUCAUCGACUAAGUCCACACGCUCGUUCCUUAACAGCAGCGGCGAAACUAAAGUGGUGACCAGCGUGGAUGAUGCGCUGGAGCGUAUGCGUAAUGCAGAUUAUGUUGUAGAGGAAGGCGAUACGGCUGAGGAUCGCGAGGCACGUUCUUUGUUGAAUAAAUUUCUAGGUGCCAGCGUUAUAAUGAAAGGCGUCGAAAGUGUUUUGCCAACAACCAAACAAACAACAACUACUACCAUUACCAAAACUUCAUACGGCGAUGGGGAUGAUGGCGACAGAGACCUACUGAAGAAUAAAGCGGUGAAAACCACUCGCAUAACGAAAACGACCAAGUCUGGAAGCUCUUCAACACCAGUUACCCGUACAACUUGUGAUAUCGAGGAGAUCUGGGACGAAGAAAUCUUAAAGGAAUUGCUUGAACAGGCCACAACAUACGAAGAACGCCGGAAGAUACGCGCGCGUCUACGAGAUUUAAUGGCGGAACGUGAAGAUUGAUAAUAAGCUAGGCAAGACUCUGUAAAUCUUGAGUUUGGGUAUCCAGCCGAUACAGUAUUUUAGAGCAACAAGCUACAUCCACCACUGAGAAAACAGAAA